rnacentral:rRNA from 1 species
CGGGUUGCACCAGCAGUGAGGAAUAUUGCACAAUGGGGGGAACCCUGAUGCAGCAACGCCGCGUGGAGGAUGACGCAUUUCGGUGUGUAAACUCCUUUUAUAUGUCAAGAAAAUGACGGUAGCAUAUGAAUAAGCACCGGCUAACUCCGUGCCAGCAGCCGCGGUAAUACGGAGGGUGCAAGCGUUACUCGGAAUCACUGGGCGUAAAGGACGCGUAGGCGGGUUGGAAAGUCAGGUGUGAAAUCCUACAGCUUAACUGUAGAACUGCACUUGAAACUUCUAAUCUAGAGUAUGGGAGGGGGAGAUGGAAUUAGUGGUGUAGGGGUAAAAUCCGUAGAUAUCACUAGGAAUACCUAAAGCGAAGGCGAUCUCCUGGAACAUUACUGACGCUAAGGCGUGAAAGCGUGGGGAGCAAACAGGAUUAGAUACCCGCGUAGUC